UACGUAGGGAGCAAGCGUUGUUCGGAUUUACUGGGCGUAAAGGGCGCGUAGGCGGCGCGGUAAGUCACUUGUGAAAUCUCUGAGCUUAACUCAGAACGGCCAAGUGAUACUGCAGUGCUAGAGUGCAGAAGGGGCAAUCGGAAUUCUUGGUGUAGCGGUGAAAUGCGUAGAUAUCAAGAGGAACACCUGAGGCGAAGGCGGGUUGCUAGGCUGACACUGACGCUGAUGCGCGAAAGUGUGGGGAGCGAACAGG
rnacentral:rRNA from 1 species